GCGAAUCGCCCUUCGGGGUGCACCAGGCGCGAAAACUCUACAAUGCAGGCAACUGCGAUAGGGGAACAUCGAGUGAUACUCAUUUUGGGUGUCUGUCCCACCGUCUAAAAAACGGUGGUUAGCAAGGGCCGGGCAAGACCGGUGCCAGCCGCCGCGGUAAUACCGGCGGCUCGAGUGGUGGCCGAUAUUAUUGAGUCUAAAGGGUCCGUAGCCGGCUUUGCAAGUCUUUUGGGAAAUCCAGCGGCUUAACCGUUGGUCGUCCGGGAGAUACUACAUUGCUUGGGACUGGGAGAGGUAAGAGGUACUCAGGGGGUAGGAGUGAAAUCCUGUAAUCCUUUGGGGACCACCGGUGGCGAAGGCGUCUUACCAGAACAGGUCCGACGGUGGGGGACGAAAGCUAGGGGCACGAACCGGAUUAGAUACCCGGGUAGUCCUAGCCGUAAACGAUACUCGCUAGGUGUCGGCCACGGUGCGACCGUGGUCGGUGCCGUAGGGAAGCCGUGAAGCGAGCCACCUGGGAAGUACGGCCGCAAGGCUGAAACUUAAAGGAAUUGGCGGGGGAGCAC
rnacentral:rRNA from 1 species